GGGGAAUUAGCUCAGUUGGCUAGAGCACCUGCUUUGCAAGCAGGGGGUCAUCGGUUCGAAUCCGUUAUUCUCCA
rnacentral:tRNA from 2 species